CCUACGGGUGGCAGCAGUGAGGAAUAUUGGUCAAUGGCCGUAAGGCUGAACCAGCCAAGUCGCGUGAAGGAAGAAGGUGCCAUGGAUUGUAAACUUCUUUUAUCGGGGGACAAAGGCAUCCUCGUGUGGAUAUCUGCAUGUACUUUAAGAAUAAGCAUCGGCUAACUCCGUGCCAGCAGCCGCGGUAAUACGGAGGAUGCGAGCGUUAUCCGGAUUUAUUGGGUUUAAAGGGUGCGUAGGGUGUUUUUUAAGUCAGCGGUGAAAGUUUGUGGCUCAACCAUAGAAGGGCCGUUGAAACUGGAAGACUUGAGUUUGUUUGAGGUAGGCGGAAUGCGUGGUGUAGCGGUGAAAUGCAUAGAUAUCACGCAGAACUCCGAUUGCGAAGGCAGCUUACU
rnacentral:rRNA from 1 species